UCAUUCCCGAAACCGCGCUCACAAGUAACGCACGCGCCGUGCCAACAAAAUAGCGCCAAACAUUGUCAUGAGUAGACAAUUAUUUAUUACUGGCCAGUAACAAUUAUAAAACAGUUGUCAUUUAUGAUACUGGCAGCAUGGCACGGAACUUGUGGCUCCUGGUACUAUCCUUCUGCAUACUGAACCAUCAAAUCAACAGUUUCGUUCUCCAUUCACCGGAAACCACACCAUCAGGCAACGACGAACACAAUCUCAAAGAAGAAAUAGUAAACAACGAAGAGAAAAUAUCAAACCUAACAAGACAAAUAUCUGAUGAUUACAAAAAAUAUAGUUACCUGAUUACCACAUACUUAUAACGAACAUCAAGAAAUAAUAAAUACUAACGUAUUGUAAAUAUGCAAUUUAGAUAACGUUAAAGACAACCAUUCAACGUCUAAAACAUCAUCGACUCACUUUGAUGUAAAAAUUCUUUCCAAAGAUUAAGAUAAAAACACCAAUUGUUCCUAAAAUCGAUUAGGUAUUAAAUGGAAUUUAAGUUGGCACAUCGGGAAUAAGAGUACUCUUGUUAUGAUGUGCCAACUCUAUUUCUGGAUGUUUUGUUUUUAGUAAUACUGACUACUGCAAAUCGAAAGCAACUGUCAAAAUACUUAGUGAUGUUAUUUUAAUAAAUCAUUUAAAUAUAAAAGGAUGAAAAUAUAAUUAUUACAAAAAGUUUUUGUUAACUGUUAUGGCUCUGGUGACGUCAUUAAAGCCUAAUUUGAUAGACGCUUCUAGCAAACCUUUUAACAAUUGGAACGACGAAGAUUUCAGUAAUAACAGAGAUUUAGUACAAGCAAAACCUAACAUUCUUGAUAGUUUAAAAAAUAUAAUUCUUACGCACGUUUUGAGAAAAAUUGUUACCAUAAUGUCGAUACCGAAAACGUUAGCAAUGGCAGCGUUGUUUAAUUUUUUACAACUGGUUGCUGGAUUUUUAGCAUUUAUUAUGGAUAAUAAUUAUAUACCUUACCUAUUGCCUAGAUUAUGGAGCAUAAUUACUAGUGCUAUCAGAUCACUGAAUAGCACAAGAUGAAGAUGGCAACACUUAAAAUUGAGACAUUUGCUUCAACAUUGAUAGACCGAUUAAUAAAUGUUAGAAUUCAGAAACGGACGGUGGCUUCUACAAACGGGUUGUUGAUAUGCCAAGGUACAU